GCAAGUCGAACGAGACCUUCGGGUCUAGUGGCGCACGGGUGCGUAACGCGUGGGAACCUGCCCAAAGGUGCGGAAUAACUCAGGGAAACUUGAGCUAAUACCGCAUGAUGCCGAAAGGCCAAAGAUUUAUCGCCUUUGGAUGGGCCCGCGUCGGAUUAGCUUGUGGGUGGGGUAAGGGAGCACAAAGGCGACGAUCCGUAGCUGGUUUGAGAGGAUGAUC
rnacentral:rRNA from 1 species